UCUCCGUUGGUGAACCAGCGGAGGGAUCAUUACCGAGUUUACAACUCCCAAACCCAAUGUGAACCAUACCAAACUGUUGCCUCGGCGGGGUCACGCCCCGGGUGCGUCGCAGCCCCGGAACCAGGCGCCCGCCGGAGGGACCAACCAAACUCUUUCUGUAGUCCCCUCGCGGACGUUAUUUUUACAGCUCUGAGCAAAAAUUCAAAAUGAAUCAAAACUUUCAACAACGGAUCUCUUGGUUCUA
rnacentral:misc_RNA from 1 species